AUCACUUCUUGGCCUCUUGGCUAAGAUCAAGUGUA
rnacentral:snRNA from 1 species